AGAGUUUGAUCCUGGCUCAGAUUGAACGCUGGCGGCAUGCCUUACACAUGCAAGUCGAACGGUAACAGGGAGCUUGCUCCGCUGACGAGUGGCGAACGGGUGAGUAAUAUAUCGGAACGUGCCUGGUAAUGGGGGACAACUAGUCGAAAGAUUAGCUAAUACCGCAUACGCCCUACGGGGGAAAGAGGGGGUUCGCAAGAACCUCUCGUUAUCAGAGCGGCCGAUAUCUGAUAGCUAGUUGGUGAGGAAAGGCUCACCAAGGCUUCGUCAGUAGCUGGCUGAGAGGACGACCAGCCACACUGGGACUGAGACACGGCCCAGACUCCUACGGAGGCAGCAGUGGGGAAUUUUGGACAAUGGGCGCAAGCUGAUCCAGCAAUGCCGCGUGAGUGAAAAAGCUCGGGUUGUA
rnacentral:rRNA from 1 species